rnacentral:rRNA from 1 species
AGAGUUUGAUCCUGGCUCAGAACGAACGCUGGCGGCGUGCUUAACACAUGCAAGUCGAACGAGAAAGUUUCCUUCGGGAAACGAGUAGAGUGGCGCACGGGUGAGUAACGCGUAGGUAAUCUAUCCUUAUAUUUGGGAUAACAUUGGGAAACUGGUGCUAAUACCGAAUACCCUUCUUUGCUGCUGGGCAAAGUAGGAAAGGUGGCCUCUUCAUGAAAGCUACCGUAUAGGGAUGAGCCUGCGUACCAUUAGCUAGUAGGUGGGGUAAUGGCCCACCUAGGCUACGAUGGUUAGCGGGUCUGAGAGGAUGAUCCGCCACACUGGAACUGGAACACGGACCAGACUCCUACGGGAGGCAGCAGUGAGGAAUAUUGCGCAAUGGGGGAAACCCUGACGCAGCGACGCCGCGUGAGUGAGGAAGGUUUUCGGAUCGUAAAGCUCUGUCAGAAGGGAAGAAGUGUUAUGUGGUUAAUACCCAUAUAAUUUGACGUACCUUCAGAGAAGCACCGCUAACU